rnacentral:rRNA from 1 species
GACGAACGCUGGCGGCGUGCUUAACACAUGCAAGUCGAACGGAAAGGCCCUGCUUUUGUGGGGUGCUCGAGUGGCGAACGGGUGAGUAACACGUGAGUAACCUGCCCUUGACUUUGGGAUAACUUCAGGAAACUGGGGCUAAUACCGGAUAGGAGCUCCUGCUGCAUGGUGGGGGUUGGAAAGUUUCGGCGGUUGGGGAUGGGCUCGCGGCUUAUCAGCUUGUUGGUGGGGUAGUGGCUUACCAAGGCUUUGACGGGUAGCCGGCCUGAGAGGGUGACCGGCCACAUUGGGACUGAGCUACGGCCCAGACUCCUACGGGAGGCAGCAGUGGGGAAUAUUGCACAAUGGGCGGAAGCCUGAUGCAGCAACGCCGCGUGCGGGAUGACGGCCUUCGGUUUGUAGACCGCUUUCGCCUGUGACGAAGCGUGAGUGACGGUAAUGGGUAAAGAAGCACCGGCUAACUACGUG